CAAAACAAAGGAAUGGAGUUUGUAGUAUGCAUGAGCUCACUCCCACAAGAAUAUGCAAGCUCAGUGCCAAAUGCCUCCACCCAAAUACCUGAGAUGUUACUAAUGUGAUAAGAGUCCUUUUCCUGUUUUUUACUAGCCUGUGCUGUUUCUCAAGCUAUCUGUGCUGUGUUCCCGUGAAGAGCAAUUUCAGUGCCACAGAACAUGUCUGCAAAGCAAAAUGAAGGGGCAGUUGCAGGAUGGGUAGGUGAAAGCACACGAGCAUGGAUGGUCAGAGCAGUAAAUGGUGGAAAAUGAGCUGGCAACCUGCCUGCACGUUCAGCUGGGUGAGUAUUUGGCAUAAACUGCAGGGAAGCCUUUUGCUUAUGGCAGUAGAUAUCAGUAAAAAUACAUGCUGGGGUAAAUUAAGCAGAGCUGAUGAUAAACUGUUGAUCUCACUGCCUGAGGACCCACUGCUUGUAAUCCUACUCUUUCUCUUGGUCCAGAUAUCUCACAUGCUUAAAAGAUUUGUUGCUGACUAGUGUUUCUUCUCAGCUGACCUGUGACCUUCGUUUGGAAAAGACCCAAAUCAACCCAAACAACUCGGGCAAGAUUUUAAUCUUAAACUCGAGCUAAAGAAUUUGGGCCUUUUAUUUCCUUCCUGCGCUGAGAGUUGCAACAUCAGGUUUGUUCAAGUUAUGUUUUAGGAAAUGUUGAUGAAGUCACUGAGUGACAUUGGAAUGGGCUGACAAGGAAGGUGGUGGGUCACCGACCCUGGAGACGUUCAAGGAAAGACUGGACAUUAUCAACUGUGGUCUAGUUGAUAAGGUAGCAUUUGGUCACAGGCUUGAGGGGAAUGUCACAUUUGUCUUUACAAACAAGCUGUAGAUCUGCUGGUAGAUAGGGCUAGCACUGAGAGCUAAAAGAAACAGUGGGAUGGAUUCCACUGAUUGAUGAAUGGAAAAAGAUAUUUGCCUUUACAAACAAACUGUAGGUUCGC